AACCGGCUAUACGGCCGCCGGAGAGACACUGUAACUUUGAAGGGGGUUCAGGAUGGGGUGUCUGAACGUGCUCGAGCCCGGCAUGCGCUACAUGAACCUCCGCCAAGCUCUAUUAAUCUGUGUUUAUUUACUAAGAAAAGAAAAAUGGGUAAUAUAAAAUGCUAGGUUAAUGUUAUAUAAUGGUGCAGUCAACAGGUCCAGGGUUCCGUGUACCGCAUUUCACUUUCAGGUCCGGCUGGUGAUCCCGCCGUGCGCGUCCGCGCUAAACUGUGGAUAUACUGAUAAACUGCGGUAUUAUGGCUGCGUGGAAGUGCGCCGAUCACAUUGUUUUAUACCCAAAACUCUCUGCGAAUGAUUGUGCGGUUUAAUCCGAAAUUUGUAUUUUACAUAAAUUUCCUUAGUUAAACGCGGUAUGUAGUCUACCCGCCCGGUGAUGUAACAUGUCGCUUUCUACAGUUUGAAGGUACUUUUUUUUUUUUUUUAAAUGACAACAAUUUAUAAUUUUAUUGAAUGUGACUAUAAAUUAUGUUUGAAAAUAUUAAAUAUUGCUGUUAAUUAUAUUAUUAAAAUUUAAGACUAUUUUGUUUUCUUAACUGCAGUACAGGAUGUGGCUUUUAUAUCUGAAUCAUUUCCUCUGUUGAAAGUAGAAAGAGGGAAAAAACCACUUCGUGUCGCAGUUUUUUUAAUCUAAGCCGCUAUCGCCAUCGGGUCCCACGAGAGAAAGCCGCUGGGCGCAGUGUGUUUUCCACCCUGUCCUCCGGGGUCAGCGUGGACCCCCGGACCAUCACCCGCACUGCCGCCUCUGUCUCACCUGGCGUGACCAGGGGGCAAGGGUGCAGGCCAGACAGCACGCCUCCUUCCGCCCGACCUGUGGAAAUUACGUGGGGACAGUCCCAGGUCUAUCAUCAGAAGGUUGCUUAUUCCAGUCUCGUGUGGGAACCAGUGAAUGUAAGGUUUAAAGAUGUAACCUGUUUAAAACUGUAAUGUUCUUCUAAUGAAAGUAUCGGGGAUUUAACAACAACAGCAGCAAAAUCAACAACAAAAUAAUCAUCAUUGUUGCUGUUGCCCUGCAGUGGGAUGGUGCCCCCUCCUGGGUUGUUCCCUGCCUUAUGCCUGUAGCUUCCGGGAUAGGCUCCUGACCCCCCCAACCCUGAAUAGGACAAGAAGUUACAGAAAAUGAAUGGGUUAUUAUUAUUAUUAUUAUUAUAAAUCUGAAAGCACUGCAAGGGCUACCCUCUAUGUUCUGUCGAUGGUGCUUUAUACCUCAUCGCUUAUGAGGGUCACAACAGGGCCAACUGUGUAGGUGUGUUAGUGUUGGUGGUUCUUGCAACACAGGCUGUGUUAAACGUGUCGGUGGUUCUUGCAACACAGGCUAUAUAAAACAUGUCGGUGGUUCUUGCGACGCAGGCUGUGUUAAACGUGUCGGUGGUUCUUGCGACGCAGGCUGUGUUAAACGUGUCGGUGGUUCUUGCAACACAGGCUAUAUAAAACAUGUCGGUGGUUCUUGCGACGCAGGCUGUGUUAAACGUGUCGGUGGUUCUUGCGACGCAGGCUGUGUUAAACGUGUCGGUGGUUCUUGCGACGCAGGCUGUGUUAAACGUGUCGGUGGUUCAUGUGAUUCACGCCUGCCCCCUCCUCACACUCCAUUUGUCAGACCUGGACACGCUUCCCCGUGUGUGUGAGCAUCUGCAAGCCUGACGGCAGUUUAACCUUGAGCUCAGACUCCUAGACGUGCGCCUGUACUGACUGGCAGUGUUGUUAGACAGCCUCGUCUGGCCUGCAGUUUGCGGCGCCUUCACUGGCUGUUAAUCUGUGCUGCGAUCGCAUGCAUAAUAAACGUAAACUUUGGAAAAGUCCUGCAGCGCAUGGCUGAAUGGAGGCUUUCAGGGGGCUCACUGCACCCCCAUGUCUCCUCUCUUUAACCGGAUGGUGACUUUGGCCAAAACCCGCUGCUCGCUUUUCUGCCCCCACCAUGAAGGCUGCCUCUGUCCGCCCCCGUCCUCGGCCUCGUCCUCUCUCUGGCUGAAUCGCUGCCUUCUCGCCCCUUUCUUGCUUUCCUCCUUCUCUUUUUCAGUGCGUGAGUCGGCCCAGCUUUGGUCCAUUCUUCUUGCCUCUAGCCUGCCUGUGGCCAUUGCCGCCUCACUCCAGGGGGCGCCGCUGAGAUGUACCAGUGCACCAUCCUCAGGCCCAUCCUCCUGCUCCUUCUGGGGUCACCACGCCUCUCUGAAAGCCUACUUUUCUCCCAGACACUGCGUCUGUAACCUCAGCCAGCUGCGUAGUAACUGGGCCUAAUUGGCUUUAGCCACUCCAUCAUUAAAAAUAACAGAGUUGCCGUGGCAGCGACCUCCCAGAAAAGCCCAAACUGGGUUUAAAUUUUCAGUGGCGCCGCUGCGAUCAUCCCGGAUGACCUAGAUGGCGUGUCUCUGCCACUCUCGUUGCCAGGAAGUGGACACCCGAGUGGGUUUGUCCUAUUUUGAGCCCAUGGGGUUGGGAUGAGGGGCCGACUGGAAGCCGUUCUUUUUAAUUUGUCUCAUGUUGGAGUUUCUGAUGUGGUUUUGAGUGCUUGGGACGCCACAUAU